AUUGUGUUUUGCUAACGAUUUGCGUCUCUCUGUCUUACAGUGGUGGUCGGAGUCUUCAUCGUUCCCCUAAUCUACAGGAAGCACAAGGCUCAGAUUAACCAAUACCUCGGACUCCUGAGAGGACAGAUAAAGGACCUGACAGCUAAAAUCCAGGCCAAGCUCCCGGGAUCGAGACCCAAGGUGGAAUAGCGGCGGAAGAACAAGGACCCCAAGAUCCAACUCCGGGAGCCAGUUGCAUUCACCCACGGUUGUUCAGUGAUAGUCUUAACCUUGCCAGCUGUCUCACGCACCAGCGCUGGGAGCCACGCGCGCAGCGCACACACACACACACA